AUCCAUUUCUUCCUCCCCAAUGGCCCAUUUAAAUUCAUCUUAAACACUCCUUAACCUAGCCUAAUUUAACAUCCAAGACCAAACCCUAAACCUAAUCUAUGCUCAGCCGUAUACACCCCUACCCUCUCCAUCUCUCAUUUCCAGCAGACUUUGACCUUUAUCACGUCGUGAACAGACCUUGUCCACCCCUUCUCAAGCAAAAAUCGUCCUUUUUCUGCUUCCAUUUGGCAACUUUCUCGUCUCACGCUCCAAAUCACAUAAAAGAUCUCCAAAGACCAUAGCAGAUUCCACCAUUUCGGGAAACUCUGAAUUUGGUCCGCAAGUUCGUCCAAAAUCUGCCAACGUUCACUUUGAAAAGAAUUUUUGGAUUGGAUUUGAAAAAGGGUCUCAAAUCCCGCCCAAACUUGAACCCUAGGAUUUUCACCUAUAAAUACUACCUUUAACUCCAGUCGAAAGCAAGUUUUGGAUACCAUCAAAAAUCUCUCAAAGACUUUUAUUUUUCAGUCUCGUUUGCUUGUAUUUUUAUCAACUACACUAGUACUUUUGCUCUCUGUUCGACAAGCCUUACUCGAAAGGGGAAACAGAUCUGAGACCUUGAAAGUUCUGGUUCACUGCACCAUUAAAAGCCGAAGAGUCUCGUUCCGAGACUCGACGUCGCUGUUAAACUCGGAAGCUACAUCUACUCUUCAUUCGUUCCCCUCGCUCUCUCUUGAAAUAUUUCCGAAUAGAGACUAAAUGGGAGAUGAGGAGACAUGGCUUAUAUCCUGUCAUAGCUCUCUUUCAUUUUAUUGUUAUGAAUAUUAUGUUGGUUUUGAUGCGGUCUGUUUCUUGUAUUAAUUCAUUUUAAUGAUAUUUACGUGAUGUGCGGGUAGUAA